UACGUAGGGGGCGAGCGUUGUCCGGAAUCAUUGGGCGUAAAGAGCGUGUAGGCGGCCAGAAAAGUCCGCUGUGAAAACUCGAGGCUCAACUUCGAGCUGUCGGUGGAAACUUUCUGGCUAGAGUCCGGAAGAGGAGAAUGGAAUUCCUGGUGUAGCGGUGAAAUGCGCAGAUAUCAGGAAGAACACCCGUGGCGAAGGCGGUGCUCUGGGACGGUACUGACGCUGAGACGCGAAAGCGUGGGGAGCGAACAGG
rnacentral:rRNA from 1 species